GGGGGUGUGGCGGAAUGGUAGACGCUACGGACUUAAAAUCCGUUGACCCGAAACGGUCGUGUGGGUUCAAGUCCCUCCACCCCCAUCA
rnacentral:tRNA from 4 species